UAGCUCAGUGGUAGAGCACUUGCCUAGCAUGUGAGAGGCCCUGGGUUCCAUUCCCAG
rnacentral:tRNA from 1 species